rnacentral:lncRNA from 1 species
UCAUCUUGCAGAGAGUCAGAGGGCAGGUGAAGGAGUUGGUGGCGUGGCUGAGGAAGUGCAGGCGUGACGAACGGCGAGACCAGCAAGCUGCGGCACUAGGCUAGGCUAGGGUUUCAAUUUUCUGAAACCCUAGUUUAAAAUUUGGGUCUGAUUUGGGUAUUGGGCCUGGUUGGGCUUGGAUUGUGUUGUUUGGGUUAGGCUAGUAAAUUAGGGCUGUAGAAAUUUGGGUUUUGGGCCAGGCAAAAAUGGGCUUGUA